rnacentral:tRNA from 1 species
GUCCGGCUAGCUCAAUCGGUAGAGCGUGAGACUCUUAAUCUCAAGGCUGCGGGUUCGAGCCCCGCGUUGGGCU